rnacentral:rRNA from 1 species
GACGAACGCUGGCGGCGUGCUUAACACAUGCAAGUAGAACGGAAAGGCACUGCCUUUGUGGGGUGCAUGAGUGGCGAACGGGUGAGUAACGCGUGAGUAACCUGCCUUUGACUUUGGGAUAACUACAGGAAACUGGGGCUAAUACCGGAUAGGAGCACAUGCUGCAUGGUGGGGGCUGGAAAGGUUCGUUGGCUGGGGAAGUACUUGCGGCUUAUCAGCUUGAUGGUGGGGUAGUGGUUUACCAAGGCGAUGACGGUUAGCCGGCCUGAGAGGGUGACCGGCCACAUUGGGACUGGGAAGCCACCCAGACGCCUUCGGGAGGCAUCAGUGGAGGAUAGUGCACGAUAGGCCGAAUCCGUAUGCAGCAUCUCCGCGUGCGAGAUGACUGCCGUCAGGGUGUAAACCGCGUGCGCCUGUAACGUAGAGUGUGUGACGGUAAUUUGUAAGGAAGCGCCGGCUAACUACGUG